CUUUGUUUUACAAGGUAACGAUCUCGAAGUGUCAUUGUCAUAUUUUAUCAUUCUCGAACAGACUUUUUUUAAUUUGUUAUGUUUUCAUUUUCGUUAUGUAUUCAAGAUUCAGAUAUUAUUUUUAUUUUAUGAUAUUAUUUCUAGAUAUUAGUCAUUAGAAAGUUUAUAUAUAUAUAUAUAUAUAUGAAUAUAUAUAUAAAUAUAUAUAUAUAUAAUAAAUUAAAACCCCGGUUCGACCGGCGUAUCCGGUCCGGUUUUUAAAACAUUGAUUAAAAGUUAUAAUAAUUGUUAAUUAUUUUGUUAAUACAAUUUCAAAAAAAAAAAAGAUAAAAUAAAAAAUGGGGAAAACACGAUUAACCUAAAAUUUUCACACCUUCAGCAAGAGAAGAAGCUACUUUCUUCCUCGAAAGCCACCGUUGGGAUCUCGACGCUGCCGUCUCCACUUUCCUAGACAACGACGCCACUGCCACCGGGUUCAAACCCUAAUUUACCUCCUCCUUCGAUUCCCGCCGCAUAUCCUCACUCUCCGGAUUACUCUCCGACUGAAUCAUCUCCUUCUCGCUCACGAUCUCCUUCUCCUCCUUCCCGCGACGCUCCCUACCGUCUCCGAUCGAAAGCCGCCGCCUCCGAUCGAAAGCCGCCGCCUUCGAGAAUCAAGGAGCUGGUAAUCCGUCUGGGAGCAGGAAUACUAGGAGCCGUCAACAAGCUGGGAACAUCCGUACCUUCGCCGAUCUGAACCGUUCCCCGCUGACGGCGCGGAUAGUGAUUCCGAUGAAGGGAAAGAGUAUUAUACUGGUGGACAGAGGAGUGGGAUGAUGGUUCAAGAUCCUAAGAAAGCAAAAGAUGUUGGUUCAACAACCACCACACGGUGAGAGACGUGCAUGGGUUCAUCUACGCUUCAAGAUCCGGUGAGUCCAGAGAGUACUAUUUAUUAACCUAAACAGUUGACAAAACUUGGACCAAACCAUGGAGCAAGCGGUGAGGUGUAUACGGUAACGCAUAGCAGAAACAAAAGCAAGAAGUUGACAUGGACGUGUUGGAGAUUCGGGAAGAUAAGCAAUGCAAUAACACACCACUUUUCUCAAGGCAUUUGCCUGCUGGUUAUGUGGUUGGGUACGAGAAGACGAAUAACAGAGAAGCUGAGAGUAUUGCUGUUAAGUGUUAGGUCGUGUUAGUGAUGAUGGCUUCUUGAAAACUGUUUUAUCUGGUUUUCUUAAACUUCAGGCCGUAAAUUGUGCGCUAAUGAUUGAUGAUGAAACAUGUGAGAUGUUGAUUUAUAACU